UGGGGAAUCUUGCGCAAUGGCCUAACGGCUGACGCAGCGACGCCGCGUGAGGGAUGACGCUCUUCGGAGUGUAAACCUCUUUUGCCCGGGACGAAUUGCCAACUUUCGUUGGCUUGACGGUACCGGGUGAAUAAGCACCGGCUAACUCCGUGCCAGCGGCCGCGGUAAUACGGGGGGUGCGAGCGUUGUCCGGAAUCACUGGGCGUAAAGGGCGCGUAGGUGGUCUUAUAAGGGUGUGGUGAAAGCCCGGGGCUCAACCCCGGGUCGGCCGUGCCGACUGUAAGACUCGAGUGCUGUAGGGGCAGGCGGAAUUCCGGGUGUAGCGGUGGAAUGCGUAGAGAUCCGGAGGAAGACCGGUGGCGAAGGCGGCCUGCUGGGCAGUUACUGACACUGAGGCGCGACAGCGUGGGGAGCAAACAGGAUUAGAUACCCUGGUAGUCCACGCCGUAAACGAUGGGUACUAGGUGCCUGGGGGAGCGACCCCUUGGGUGCCGGCGCUAACGCAGGAAGUACCCCGCCUGGGGAGUACGGCCGCAAGGCUGA
rnacentral:rRNA from 1 species